GCAGUGCUAUGCCUGAGAGAUGGCAUUCCUGUGAUCGGCGGUGAGGCUAAGUCAGGCUUAGAUUCUUCCAUUCACACAAGGAACCUGAUAAUUUUCUAUGAAGACCCUAGCGAGAUGAUUUUGAAACGAGAAACUUUAGGAUUCUUGGGGAUGGUAAAUCCCAGCAUGAUUUUUGAAUAGAAGAAGAUGAUUGAGACACGGAGGAAGAAGAUAAAAGAGCCCUUUUUUUCUGAUAUUCUU
rnacentral:lncRNA from 1 species